rnacentral:rRNA from 1 species
AUUGAACGCUGGCGGCAUGCCUUACACAUGCAAGUCGAACGGUAACGCGGGGCAACCUGGCGACGAGUGGCGAACGGGUGAGUAAUGUAUCGGAACGUGCCCAGUUGUGGGGGAUAACUGCUCGAAAGAGCAGCUAAUACCGCAUACGACCUGAGGGUGAAAGCGGGGAACGCAAGACCUCGCGCAAUUGGAGCGGCCGAUAUCAGAUUAGGUAGUUGGUGGGGUAAAGGCCCACCAAGCCAACGAUCUGUAGCUGGUCUGAGAGGACGACCAGCCACACUGGGACUGAGACACGGCCCAGACUCCUACGGGAGGCAGCAGUGGGGAAUUUUGGACAAUGGGCGCAGGCCUGAUCCAGCCAUGCCGCGUGCGGGAAGAAGGCCUUCGGGUUGUAAACCGCUUUUGUCAGGGAAGAAACGCUCUGGGUUAAUACCUCGGGGUAAUGACGGUACCUGAAGAAUAAGCACCGGCUAACUACGUGCCAGCAGCCGCAGUAACAC